rnacentral:rRNA from 1 species
CCUACGGGAGGCAGCAGUGGGGGAUAUUGGACAAUGGGGGGAACCCUGAUCCAGCGACGCCGCGUGAGUGAAGAAGUAUUUCGGUAUGUAAAGCUCUGUCAGCAGGGAAGAAAGAAAUGACGGUACCUGACCAAGAAGCCCCGGCUAACUACGUGCCAGCAGCCGCGGGAAUACGUAGGGGGCAAGCGUUAUCCGGAAUUACUGGGUGGAAAGGGAGCGUAGACGGUUAAGUAAGUCUGGAGUGAAAGGCAGGGGCCCAACCCCGGGACUGCUCUGGAAACUAUUGAACUUGAGUGCAGGAGAGGUAAGCGGAAUUCCUAGUGUAGCGGUGAAAUGCGUAGAUAUUAGGAGGAACACCAGUGGCGAAGGCGGCUUACUGGACUGUAACUGACGUUGAGGCCCGAAGGCGUGGGGAGCAAACAGGAUUAGAUACCCCAGUAGUC